UCCAGGCCCUACGGGGCGCAGCAGGCGUGAAAACUGUGCAAUGCGCGAAAGCGGAUCACGGGAAACCUGAUGUGCCUUGACAAAGUCAAGGCUUUUCUUAAGCCUAAAAAGCUUAAGGAAUAAGAGCUGGGUAAGACGGGUGCCAGCCGCCGCGGUAACACCCGCAGCUCGAGUGGUGGUCACUUUUAUUGAGCCUAAAGCGUUCGUAGCCUUUUCUGUAAAUCUUCAGAAAAAUUCUCCCGCUCAACGGGAGAUCCUCUGAAGAGACUGUGGGACUAGGGACUGGGUGAGGUUGAAUGUACUUCUGGGGUAGGGGUAAAAUCCUGUAAUCCUGGAAGGACAACCGGUGGCGAAGGCGUUCAACUAGAACAGAUCCGACGGUGAGGAACGAGGGCUAGGGGAGCAAACCGGAUUAGAUACCCGGGUAGUCCUAGCUGUAAACACUGCCACUUGGUGUUGCCUCUCCGUUGAGGGGAGGCAGUGCCGGAGCGAAGGUGUUAAGUGGGCCGCUUGGGGGAGUAUGGUCGCAAGGCUGAAACUUAAAGGAAUUGGCGGGGGAGCACCGCAACGGGGAGGAGCGUGCGGUUUUAAUUGGGAUUCAACGCCGGAAAACUCACCGGGAGCGACUUCGGAUGAGAGUCAACCUGACGAGUUUACUCGAUAGAAGGAGAGGUGGUGCAUGGCCGUCGUCAGCUCGUACCGUAGGGCGUUCACUUAAGUGUGAUAACGAGCGAGACCCCCAUCUCUAAUUGCCAGGCUGUCUUAGCGGGCAGCGGCACUUUAGAGGGACCGCCAGCGCUAAGCAAAAGGAAGGAGGGGUCGACGGACAGGUCAGUACGCCCCGAAUACUCCCGGGCAACACGCGCGCUACAAAGGACAGGACAAUGAGUUGCGACCUCGAAAGGGGUAGCUAACCUCGAAACCUGUUCGUAGUUAGGAUUGAGGGCAGUAACUCGCCCUCAUGAAUGUGGAUUCCGUAGUAAUCGCGGCUCAACAGCCCGCGGUGAGUAUGCCCCUGCUCCUUGCACACACCGCCCGUCAAUCCC
rnacentral:rRNA from 1 species